AGGGGUGGUGCCCAACGGUUGAGGCGGUCGUCUCCAAAACGACUUUCAGAAGGUUCGACUCCUUUCACCCCUG
rfam:Ktedonobacter racemifer DSM 44963 strain SOSP1-21 Krac_Contig205, whole genome shotgun sequence.